rnacentral:sRNA from 1 species
UGUGAAGUUUGUCGCGGGGAGUCCGCUGCAUCAGACCCACCACACCGGUGAUAUCUGACAUCCAUACUCCAUCACAUCAUGCCGUUCUCUUCGGGGUAUUCCAGAAAGCUCCUCUGGAACAUACCCAUUUCUUUCCCUCUGGGCGAAGCAGGAACUUUCUCUGCUUUUUCCCUCCAUGAAAACACAUGGCAAGUGAAUGGCCGUAAUGAUGCAACUUGACUGUGAAUGUCAGGAGCUAUAAGAUGCCCUCUUUUGGCUCGCCGUAGUCCUUUUCCUUUUUUCUUCAUCCUCUCAUUACUCCAUUUCAUAUAUCUGUAUGACUGUUGAGUUUGGGAUAAUACAAGUUUUGAGAUCGCGCCCAAUAUUGACCAAAGGAUCAAAGCCACCCUGACCUCGACAUUACACAUCCACUAAACAGCCCUUGCACC